AUUGAACGCUGGCGGCAUGCCUUACACAUGCAAGUCGAACGGCAGCGCGGGAGCAAUCCUGGCGGCGAGUGGCGAACGGGUGAGUAAUAUAUCGGAACGUGCCCAGUAGUGGGGGAUAGCCCGGCGAAAGCCGGAUUAAUACCGCAUACGACCUACGGGUGAAAGGGGGGGAUCGCAAGACCUCUCGCUAUUGGAGCGGCCGAUAUCAGAUUAGGUAGGUGGUGGGGUAAAGGCCUACCAAGCCUGCGAUCUGUAGUUGGUCUGAGAGGACGACCAGCCACACUGGGAGUGAGACACGGCCCAGACUACUACGGGAGGCAGCAGUGGGGAAUUUUGGACAAUGGGCGCAAGCCUGAUCCAGCAAUGCCGCGUGCAGGAAGAAGGCCUUCGGGUUGUAAACUGCUUUUGUCAGGGAAGAAAUCCUCUAGGCUAAUACCUUGGGGGGAUGACGGUACCUGAAGAAUAAGCACCGGCUAACUACGUGCCAGCCGCCGCGGUAACAC
rnacentral:rRNA from 1 species